rnacentral:lncRNA from 1 species
UAAUGGUAUAAAAUAUAUUUUCUUCCUGCACUCCAAUAGAUUGACUUGGAGACCCCAUUCCCAACUUUGGAGCUUCCCUGUCAUGCUGGCUGCAUUACACUGCAAAGUGUAAAGGUGGUGUAAAGGUGUUUCUGCAGGACCUUCUCUCCCCGUGCCUUAUUGAGCAGCUGCUGAUUUACAGUUGGCACCUCACCUGCAGCUCACCACACACAGAAGGAGUUCACCAGGCUGCUAAAAUGAGGGAAGGGUCUUGCUAAGUCCCUGUAGCCCCUCUUGCAAUCAUCCCAUGCACUUGAAGUGCUUCCUCCUAUGUUUCUGAAGAGAAGAGCCCAAAUCACAAGCUCAGGACUAUUUGGAUCUCAAGAUUGUUUCAGACUUAUCUCCUUUUACCAACAUCUGUUUUAAUCUUUGAUGAGGCAAACUGUCCCUUAGUGUGUGAUUUGGAAGAGAACCAAGAAAAACAAGGUUUUGAUUUUCAGUUCAUUUAAACACCAGAUAGUCAAGAAAUAUCAUCCUGCCAGCUAAUCGGAGUCAGGCUGCACGUUGCUGCUAAUCUGGGACUAGGAGCUGCACUGUGGCCCUGUGUUAUUGAUAGGACCAUGUGCAGAACAGCAACCACACUGAAGCAAAACAGGACGACAAGUGAAGUAGGAGAACAAGUUCUCCUCAUGCUUUGCCUGGAAGCCACGUGGAGAGUUUCUGGUGGGAAGCUGGUUGGCAGCAAGGGAAGUUUAUGGAUCAAGUGCGUGAGCCAGCAGAGAAGAUGAUGGGGGGUAUGAAUGUGCCUCUGAACUUGCAGUUGAGAGGGAUUAGAUUUGAAUACCACGACCCAGGCUCAUUUUAUCUUUCAGCGCUUUCACGCAGCAGCAAAUGGGAGCUGUCACUAUUGCGAAGGCUGUACAACCCUGAGGUCAGAGCAGCGGUUAGGACUGAUGCCUUUGGCAUUUAUUUUAGACCCCUGGGAAGAGAGAAGCACCUGUAGAGAGAAAUGCGGGGGAUCAGCAUGCUCUGGUGAUGAUACCAGCAUGGAGCAGGGCACAGCUGCUGCAAAUGUGGAUCUGGAAGCAGGUUCUGCCUCACAGCCUUCACCAGAGGAGUAAGGGCACUGUCUUACCUCAGCCUUCUUCUCACCUGGUGCACUUGCCUAACCCAAAACAAGCAGCAUGACCUACCUUUUCAACACUGGAAACUUGCUCACCUGCUGGGGUGGAGGGGAAAGAUAUUUGAAUAUUACAUGUAGCUGUGCCAACCGAUGACACCUGUCAUAACAUGAAUAAACUACUAAGAGUUUGCA